GCGGCUAUGGUCUAGUGGCAAGGACGCAAGAUUGUCUAUCUUGAGGUCGGGGUUCGACUCCCCGUAGCCGCGCCA
rnacentral:tRNA from 1 species